UCAGCCUGUGGGACUCAAACCAUGGCAGCACUUUUUAUUCUGGAAUAAAGUGCCGCCAGAUUUUGAGCAUUACCGGUUGA
rnacentral:pre_miRNA from 1 species